rnacentral:tRNA from 1 species
GGGGAUUUGGCUCAGUGGUAGAGCGCUUGCCUAGCAAGCACAAGGCCCUGGGUUUAGUCCCCA